UACGUAGGGUGCGAGCGUUAAUCGGAUUUACUGGGCGUAAAGCGUGCGCAGGCGGCCCGUUAAGACAGGUGUGAAAUCCCUGGGCUCAACCUAGGAAUUGCGCUUGUGACUGGCGGGCUCGAGUACGGUAGAGGGGGGUGGAAUUCCUGGUGUAGCAGUGAAAUGCGUAGAGAUCAGGAGGAACACCGAUGGCGAAGGCAGCCCCCUGGGCCUGUACCGACGCUCAUGCACGAAAGCGUGGGGAGCAAACAGG
rnacentral:rRNA from 1 species